GGAGAAAAGAGAUAAAACUUUAAUUAAAUGCAUUUUCUGGUCAGAUUUGUAUCGACAAAAUCUGAUGAGUAUUUAAUUAAAAAAUCAGCAUAAAUAGCUGAUCUCCUUUUAUUUCUUAACAAAAAUAAAAUACUCUUAAGAGCCUGAUCUGACGUAACUGUACCUUUUUCCAGUGGAGCCUCCAGAGAAGGAAUGGAUGCCAUUGUGGACUCUAUUGAGAAGGCAUAUCAGGAAUUUGUAACAGCAGCAGCAAUUGUACUAGAGACAAGAGAAACUUAUGGUGACCAAAAAACAACAGAUGUUGAUUCAGCAACUAAAAAACUCCAUGAAUGUUUGGUAUUGUUCAAAGCUUCUUGUGAUGAAGCACAAGGGUUUGUUGAAUAUUUGAAGCAUAGUUUAGGAUGUAACAAAUUUCCGGGCAAUCUGUCUUAUUUUCAAGAACAGGUGUUUGACGGUGAUCAUAGUGAUUCGCUUAUUCAGUGUAAUCCUAUUCCAAUCAAGGCUGCUGAUGAAAAACUGAAGACAGAUGCUAGUACAUCAAAGCCUUAGAAGGUCGUUGGAUUCCAGAUAAGCCGUUGCAAAGCGCCAUCGGCCUGUCAUCCCAAAGGACAAGACAGAAAGGACUAUAGGCAUAACAUGAUCCAUUUUAGGGUGAUUCCAUUAGAGCAAACUGGUUUUAGUUAAUUGAAACAAUUGUCAUCACUGGUUGUUUUUGAGGUUUGAAAGUCUAUGAUGUAGUUGAACUGCCCAUUUGACUAAGAUAGUUUAUAAUUCAGGGUUUUAUUUUAGCAACAGGUUUAUGACA